GCUAUUGUUUGUUGGAUCUUACUUUACUUGGAUAACUGUGGUAAUUCUAGAGCUAAUACAUGCAACUAAGCUACGACCUGGUGGAAGUAGUGCAUUUGUUAGACCAAAACCAAUCAGAUUUCGGUCUGUUGUUUGGUGACUCUGAAUAACUAUGCUGAUCGCAUGGUCCUUGUACCGGCGACAUAUCUUUCAAGUGUCUGCCCUAUCAACUUUCGAUGGUAGUUUAUGUGCCUACCAUGGUUGUAACGGGUAACGGAGAAUAAGGGUUUGACUCCGGAGAGGGAGCCUGAGAAAUGGCUACCACAUCCAAGGAAGGCAGCAGGCGCGCAAAUUACCCACUCUCUGAUUGAGGAGGUAGUGACGAAAAAUAACAAGAUGGUUCUCUAUGAGGCCCAUCAUUGGAAUGGGUACAAUUUAAACCCUUUAACGAGGAUCUAUUGGAGGGCAAGUCUGGUGCCAGCAGCCGCGGUAAUUCCAGCUCCAAUAGCAUAUACCAAUUCUGCUGCUGUUAAAAAGCUCGUAGUUGGAUCUUUUCCAAAGAUUCAGUCUGUCUCAGUGACAUGUACUGUAUUCUGAGGAUACACAAUGGCUGGUCUUCCCAUGGUCCUCUUCACUGAGUGCCUUGGGUGGCUAGCAGUUUUACUUUGAAAAAAUUAGAGUGCUCAACACAGGCGCUGCUGCCUGAAUGGUGGUGCAUGGAAUAAUGGAAUAGGAUCUCGGUUCUAUUUUGUUGGUUUUAAGAGCGCGAGAUAAUGAUUAAGAGGGACAGACGGGGGCAUUCAUAUUGCGGCGUUAGAGGUGAAAUUCUUGGAUCGCCGCAAGA
rnacentral:rRNA from 1 species